GAUGAACGCUGGCGGCGUGCCUAAUACAUGCAAGUCGAGCGAACAGAUGAGGAGCUUGCUCCUCUGACGUUAGCGGCGGACGGGUGAGUAACACGUGGAUAACCUACCUAUAAGACUGGGAUAACUUCGGGAAACUGGAGCUAAUACCGGAUAAUAUAUUGAACCGCAUGGUUCAAUAGUGAAAGACGGUUUUGCUGUCACUUAUAGAUGGAUCCGCGCCGCAUUAGCUAGUUGGUAAGGUAACGGCUUACCAAGGCAACGAUGCGUAGCCGACCUGAGAGGGUGAUCGGCCACACUGGAACUGAGACACGGUCCAGACUCCUACGGGAGGCAGCAGUAGGGAAUCUUCCGCAAUGGGCGAAAGCCUGACGGAGCAACGCCGCGUGAGUGAUGAAGGUCUUCGGAUCGUAAAACUCUGUUAUUAGGGAAGAACAAAUGUGUAAGUAACUAUGCACGUCAUGACGGUACCUAAUCAGAAAGCCACGGCUAACUACGUG
rnacentral:rRNA from 1 species